rnacentral:Y_RNA from 1 species
GGCUGGUCCAAAGGCAGUGAGUCAUCUCAGUUGAUUGUUCACAGUCAGUUACAAAUCGAACUCCUUACUCUCCUCUUCUUACUACUGCACUUGUCUAAUCUAAA